AGCCGACAAACCCGGACAGCUCACGGUAAGGACCUGUGGUAUCAUGCAUCGCGGCUAAGGUAAGGUAGGAUCGCAAGCCACACAUGAAUCCGUAGCUUGAAUCCGUGGCUUCCAAGACAGGAAGGAAGGGUCCUUCAACUGGGGAAACAAGGGCGUGCGGUUCUACAGGUUGUGCUACAAAAGAAGUAACACUAAGGCUGAUUUCGUUUCUCUUCCUGCAAUGACGUUUACCCAAACGUACGAAGUUCAUGAAUAGGUUACCAGGAGUGUGAAAUUUCUGUGGAUAUCGGUCUUGCAUUUGGAACUGCGCGGAGGAUUUCGUGUGUCCCCCCCCCCCCCGCUCUUAUACUCGCUUAUAGCAAGUGUUCGCCUUCUGUUUUAGGGAUAACAAGAAGUUCCUUCUUGUCCUCGUUCCGUGCGUAAAGUUCCUUCUAAUCGGAGACUCAUUUGGAGCCAUCUCCAUGCUCAGUGGCGGCGGCGGAGACGAAGGAGGAGGCUCAGAGUCUGGUACAGACGAGGGGUAUAACAGUGUGGUUUACGACCAAUCUGGGACCACAAACUCUAUUUCAUCACUCCGAGUACGACUACUACCACGUCUACUACGGGUACCACCACGUCGACUACGACUACCACCACAACGACCCUUAAACCAAGUCGUGGGGUGCAGAAAGAAAGACACUGCACAGGGUAUACAUCUCAAUAAUCAGGUCGAAGCUGGACUACGGGCGCGUCGUCUAUGACUCAGCCCGUCAAUCAGUCCUGAAGAUUCUUGACCCUGUACAUCACCAAGGCAUUCGACCGGUGCUAGGAGCUUUCAGGACGUCACCUAUUGAAAGCCUUUACAUUGAAUGCAAUGAAUGGUCCUUGGAAAUGUGUUGUUCCUUUCCUCUUCAUAUUCACUAAGGGGUACGGAGUUACCCACACAACCGAGUCAAUCUCUGUCUCGAAGACUCGAUAACUUUUGAUUAAUAAACCCAGCAUUAUUCCCCCAUUUAGUAUGCGUGUGGAUGGGAUGUGAUGGAUCCCACAUGAACUUCUAGGUUGUUGAAGUUGGUACACGAGUCCCUCCGUGCCAAAUGGUUCCAGAAUAUAACACCUCAUUAACUCGA